rnacentral:misc_RNA from 1 species
UGUGCUUGUUGCUCCAUAGCCUGUAAUCGCAGCUUCAGUUCCUUAUUUUCUGCUGUUAACCCAGUAGUGUCUCUCUGCAACAUUGUGACCUGUGCAGAGAGGGUGGUUGCUUCUGUUUGAAGUGCUGAAGUGUCUGUACCUUCCUCUCCAGCUCAUUAGUGUAUCGUACUUUCCUCUCCUUUGACCGUGCUGCAGAUUGCCUGUUAGCAAGAAUCCUCUUAGCUCUCUUGGGAUCAAUCAAAGCAAGCUCAGCAAGUCUAUCAGGACCGAUAGCUUUCUUAACGCCAUCGACCAUAACAGAAUCUAUCUCAAACGAGGUCGUACUCGACCCAUCCAUUGAAUUGCUAUGCCUAUGGUGUAACCUCUUCUCUCCGGCACCCACUCCUCCCCCCGCCGCUGCCGUCGCCGCCGCUUUCCCGCCAAAUUUCUCAUCUCCACCGCCAGUGGUACCGCCAGUGGUAAGGCCCAACCCAUCAAAGAAAUCCGAGUCCAUGGACAGGCUCCGGAGGUGGUUGAUGGGUUUGGGCUUUGUAUUUGGGCCACUGUGAGAUGCAGAGUCAUCAGAGACGGAGCCGGAAUCAACAGCCAUGGGAGCGCCGCGAGGUGGGGUAGGAGUAGGAAGGUCGAGAGAAGAAAGGUCGAGUUCAGAGGGGUCGAAGAGGAGGAGAUCGUCGAAGCGGAAGGAGGUGUCAGAAUGGGCCCGUCUGUGGUGGGACCCACGUUGCGGUGUAUCGGGCAUCUGCUCUAUGUCCAUCGUCAUCGG